CCGAAGUGAGCGGACGGGAGAUUGUAUUUGAUGGGGCACAAUGGCUUUUUCAGUAACCUCUAGUCUUCCCGGUGGACAGUUGAAUAGGGGAUUUGCCAGGUGGCUCUCUUCUGGAAGGGAUUGUCACUUUCCCCAGCGAAUGAAUAACCAAAUGAGCAUGCUCUCCAAAAAUGGUUAUACAACUCCCCCAAAACAAUGAAGGAAGAAUGCAAUUUAUGAAAUGCAGCUUUAUGAAAAGUUUACUGAAACCAGUAUAUAUGUACCGGACAAGAACCGCACCAGGCCCUGUUAAUGAUGACGAAUAUGAGGUACAAGAGAUACUUGACUCCUGUAUUAAGCAACGUAAAUUGUAUUAUCUGAUUAGAUGGAAAGGUUACCCUUUAGCAGAGGCUACAUGGGUACGGGCUGAUAAUGUACAAGCUCCUCGCUUAGUUAAAAAAUUCCAUGUACAAAAUCCCGGAAAACCAGGAACCAUUAACACAGUGAGGGUCGGGAAGGUGGACGUGUGUGAACCAAAGUAACAUGUUUUGUCUUUCCUCCAGGGGGAGCCCUGGUGAAGGGGGGCAGUAUGUCGGGCCGUAGCAGAGGCUGCCCUGGUUACCUGCUCUGAAUGCACCCCGACUCUCCAGGCGCGCGUCCCGAUGGCCCGACAUCCAGCUGACUGGCGGGCAUGCGCGGAAAGCGCUCUGAUGACCAGCUGGCCUUGCCGGCUCUCCACAUGCGCAGACGAUGACCAGCACCCUACAACACAUGCGCAGAUGGUUGAAAGGGCUAGAACUGCCCAGUGCUCAUGCACGGACGCCGAGAUGAAGCCAAUGACAGCAAAUGAAGCAAUACAAGCUGCCGAAGCGUCGGGAAGCCGUCGAAGCGUCGGGAAGCGUCAGGAGGCGGCAGCUGAAGGCUAGCAUAAUCGGGAUGAGUGCCCAUAUAUGGGUAUGUAGGGCGGUCCGGAAGAGGGUGGUGGUGCCUGGGUGUUAACGUGGGUGUGGGCUAGGCGGGGUAUCUUUGCAUUGUAUAAAAGAACCAUGACUGUAAUGGUUGUCAGUGCUGACUUUAAACCACAUUUUUGCUGUAAUAAAGUGAAGUUCUUUGUUCCUGA